rnacentral:rRNA from 1 species
GAUGAACGCUGGCGGCGUGCCUAACACAUGCAAGUCGAGCGAUUUACUUCGGUAAAGAGCGGCGGACGGGUGAGUAACGCGUGGGUAACCUGCCCUGUACACACGGAUAACAUACCGAAAGGUAUGCUAAUACGAGAUAACAUGAGAGAGUCGCAUGGCUUUCUUAUCAAAGCUUUUGCGGUACAGGAUGGACCCGCGUCUGAUUAGCUAGUUGGUAAGGUAACGGCUUGCCAAGGCGACGAUCAGUAGCCGACCUGAGAGGGUGAUCGGCCACAUUGGAACUGAGACACGGUCCAAACUCCUACGGGAGGCAGCAGUGGGGAAUAUUGCACAAUGGGCGAAAGCCUGAUGCAGCAACGCCGCGUGAGCGAUGAAGGCCUUCGGGUCGUAAAGCUCUGUCCUCAAGGAAGAUAAUGACGGUACUUGAGGAGGAAGCCCCGGCUAACUACGUGCCAGCAGCCGCGGUAAAAC